UACGAAGGGUGCAAGCGUUACUCGGAAUUACUGGGCGUAAAGCGUGCGUAGGCGGUUUUUCAAGCUUGAUGUGAAAGCCCCGGGCUUAACCUGGGAAUGGCAUUGAGGACUGAGAGGCUAGAGUGCGGCAGAGGGAGGUGGAAUUCCACGUGUAGCAGUGAAAUGCGUAGAGAUGUGGAGGAACACCGAUGGCGAAGGCAGCCUCCUGGGCCGACACUGACGCUGAGGGCACGAAAGCGUGGGGAGCAAGCAGG
rnacentral:rRNA from 1 species